CCUCUUUCCGUGCUAGUUCAACUCACCUGGCAACACUUCAGCUCAGGAAUGUAGGGCCCAGGCUGAUCCCACACUGCGCUGUGGCUACCUGCACGAGGCUUGCCCAAGAUCAAAAGUCAAAAUUCAGCAUGGAUGGAUGAGGGGGCCGGGGCCCCAUCCCUGUCGUAGAAGCUGAGGCAGAGAUAAAUCAUUUUCCAAGGAGAGCUCAUGAGGAGCAGACACUGCCAGCGCGGAAGCCCUCACCUGCAAAGACCCGGCACGCUAAUGCUCACUCUCGCGCCUGCGCACAGCUGAUGGGGUAAUACGCUUAUGGAUCUUAAAUCUCAA